rnacentral:SRP_RNA from 1 species
GCCGGGCGUGGUGGCUCACGCCUGUAAUCCCAGCACUUUGGGAAGCUGAGGCGGGUGGAUCACCUGAGGUUGGGAGUUCGAGACCAGCCUGACCAACAUGGUGAAACCCUGUCUCUU